rnacentral:tRNA from 1 species
UGCUUACUAGCUCAGCAGGGAGCGACUAACUUCAGAUUAGUAGGUCGGCGGAUCAAGUCCACCGUAGGUAU